rnacentral:rRNA from 1 species
CCCUUAGAUGUCCGGGGCUGCACGCGCGCUACACUGAAGGAAUCAGCGUGCUAAAACCAUUGUCGAAAGGCAUUGGUAAACCCAUUAAAAUCCUACGUGAUUGGGAUCGGGAAUUGCAAUUAUUUCCCUUGAACGAGGAAUUCCCAGUAAGUGUGGGUCAUAAGCUCGCGUUGAUUACGUCCCUGCCCUUUGUACACACCGCCCGUCGCUGCCCGGGACUGAGCCGUUUCGAGAAAGGCGGGGACUGCUGCUGUCGGGGCUUUCGGGCCUUGGCUUCGGUGGAAACCGCUUUAAUCGCAGUGGCUUGAACCGGGCAAAAGUCGUANCA